rnacentral:rRNA from 1 species
AGAUUGAACGCUGGCGGCAUGCCUUACACAUGCAAGUCGAACGGCCGCACGGGAGCAAUCCUGGUGGCGAGUGGCGAACGGGUGAGUAAUACAUCGGAACGUGCCCAAUCGUGGGGGAUAACGCAGCGAAAGCUGUGCUAAUACCGCAUAAGAUCUACGGAUGAAAGCAGGGGAUCGCAAGACCUUGCGCGAAUGGAGCGGCCGAUGGCAGAUUAGGUAGUUGGUGAGGUAAAGGCUCACCAAGCCUUCGAUCUGUAGCUGGUCUGAGAGGACGACCAGCCACACUGGGACUGAGACACGGCCCAGACCUCCGUACGGGAGCAGGCAGGUGGGUAAUUUUGGAACAAGUGGGACGAAGCUGACUCAGCAUCGCCG